rnacentral:rRNA from 1 species
AUUGAACGCUGGCGGCAGGCCUAACACAUGCAAGUCGAGCGGAUGAUGGGAGCUUGCUCCCGGAUUCAGCGGCGGACGGGUGAGUAAUGCCUAGGAAUCUGCCUGGUAGUGGGGGACAACGUUUCGAAAGGAACGCUAAUACCGCAUACGUCCUACGGGAGAAAGCAGGGGACCUUCGGGCCUUGCGCUAUCAGAUGAGCCUAGGUCGGAUUAGCUAGUUGGUGGGGUAAAGGCCUACCAAGGCGACGAUCCGUAACUGGUCUGAGAGGAUGAUCAGUCACACUGGAACUGAGACACGGUCCAGACUCCUACGGGAGGCAGCAGUGGGGAAUAUUGGACAAUGGGCGAAAGCCUGAUCCAGCCAUGCCGCGUGUGUGAAGAAGGUCUUCGGAUUGUAAAGCACUUUAAGUUGGGAGGAAGGGCAGUAAGUUAAUACCUUGCUGUUUUGACGUUACCAACAGAAUAAGCACCGGCUAACUUCGUGCCAGCCGCCGCGGUAAGAC